AGAACUGCCACGUGGGGAUGAGAUUUGCUGGGCUGGUAGCGGCGGCUGCUGCGGGAGGUCCCGCCCACGUGAAGCCAGCCUAACUGAGCUCUGGACUUUGGGGACAGCUGUCAGUGGCCUAGGCCGCAGGACACCAUGAAGCAACUGCCAGUCUUGGAACCUGGAGACAAGCCCAGGAAAGCAACAUGGUACACCUUGACUGUCCCUGGAGACAGCCCCUGUGCUCGAGUUGGCCACAGCUGUUCAUAUUUACCCCCAGUUGGUAAUGCCAAGAGAGGGAAGGUCUUCAUUGUUGGGGGAGCAAAUCCAAACAGAAGCUUCUCAGACGUGCACACCAUGGAUCUGGGAAAACACCAGUGGGACUUAGAUACCUGCAAGGGCCUCUUGCCCCGGUAUGAACAUGCUAGCUUCAUUCCCUCCUGCACACCUGACCGUAUCUGGGUAUUUGGAGGUGCCAACCAAUCAGGAAAUCGAAAUUGUCUACAAGUCCUGAAUCCUGGUAAGUAGCCAAAGGUUAUUUUAUUUACGUACAUACAAAUAAACUUUCAUGCACACACACACACAUAUAUAUAAAUCCAAUUAUAAUUCCAGUACAUUUGGAUUAUACUAAUUACCAUUUAACUUUGCUGACAUAGAAAAUAGGAAUUUUAACUUGUAGCAUAAUCUG
rnacentral:lncRNA from 1 species